UUGCCUUAAACUAAUGAGUAAGGAAAACAAAGCAAGCAGUGGGAGCUGCUUGCAGCACUCAUUCUGAUGUGCAAGAAUUUUUGAAGGGGUUAUAGGCUGGUCUUGAGCAGACGCUGCUUACUUAUGCAGAACUCUCAAAGGCGGGCCUCCCAAUCCC
rfam:Vigna angularis cultivar Jingnong 6 chromosome 3, whole genome shotgun sequence.